UACGAAGGGGGCGAGCGUUGUUCGGAUUUACUGGGCGUAAAGGGCGCGCAGGCGGCUCCAAAAAGUCAGGCGUGAAAGCCCCCGGGCUUAACCUGGGAGGUGCGUCUGGGACUGUGGGGCUAGAGUUGGGGAGAGGAGCGUGGAAUUCCCAGUGUAGAGGUGAAAUUCGUAGAUAUUGGGAAGAACACCGGUGGCGAAGGCGGCGCUCUGGACCGAGACUGACGCAUGAG
rnacentral:rRNA from 1 species